UUUUAUGCUGUCUUCUUUUGUGGGUUUUUCUGGUUGCUCGUUUUACAGGUUGUGGUCGCCGCCCUCUCUACCGCCGUCGCCGUGUUGGCUGCACUCCUAUCCAGGGAUGUUCUUAAACUUUCUCUUUCUUUUUAUGCCCUGAGGACAGUGCAUGUUUUUCUCUGUGGGGGAGGGGCGUGAUUUAUGAGUUUGGGGGUUUUAUGGUUCUGUCUUGGUUGCGUUGUUGGUUGUGCCGCAUGCGGUUUUUAUGAUGCUUUAUCUUUGCGUUGCAUGCUUGGUUGUGAUGCCCUGUUUUGCUUGUCUUGGGGCGAAUGGUCCCCUUCUCUUGUUUUCUUGCCUGUUCUUAAGUACAUCACAUGAUUGAUAGUGAUUCACUGGCGAUUCGGGAUUGUGUUUGUUUGGUUUGUUGUCCUUGUUUUUC
rnacentral:lncRNA from 1 species